GACGAACGCUGGCGGCGUGCUUAAUACAUGCAAGUCGAACGGAAAGGCCCUGCUCUUGCGGGGUGCUCGAGUGGCGAACGGGUGAGUAACACGCGAGUAACCUGCCCUUGUCUUUGGGAUAACUUCUGGAAACUGGGGCUAAUAUCGGAUAGGAGCUCCUGCUGCAUGGUGGUGGUUGGAAAGAUUCGGCGGUGGGGGCUGGUCUCGCUGCUUAUCAGCUUGUUGGGGGAGUAGUGGCUUACGAAGGCUAUGACGGGUAGCCGGCCUGAGAGGGUGAACGGCCACAAUGGGACUGAGGUACGCACCAGAAGCCUACGGGAGGCAGCAGUAGGGAAUAUUGCGCAGUAGGGGGAAGCCUGAUGCAGAAACGCUGCGUGCGGGAUGACCGCUUUCGAGUUGUAAACCGCUUUCGCAUGUGACAAGGCGUGAGUGACGGUAAUGGGUAAGGAAGCAACGGCUAACUACGUG
rnacentral:rRNA from 1 species